GUUGAUCAUGGCUCAGGAUGAACGCUAGCUACAGGCUUAACACAUGCAAGUCGAGGGGCAUCAUGCGGUUGCUGCAACCGAUGAUGGCGACCGGCGCACGGGUGAGUAACGCGUAUCCAACCUCCCUUAGUAGGGCAUAGCCCGUAGAAAUGCGGAUUAACACCCUAUGUUCUUCAUGGAUGGCAUCUGACGUGAAGCAAAGUUUACGCUAAGGGAUGGGGAUGCGUCUGAUUAGGUUGCAGGCGGGGUAACGGCCCACCUGGCCGACGAUCAGUAGGGGUUCUGAGAGGAAGGUCCCCCACAUUGGAACUGAGACACGGUCCAAACUCCUACGGGAGGCAGCAGUGAGGAAUAUUGGUCAAUGGGCGAGAGCCUGAACCAGCCAAGUAGCGUGCAGGACGACGGCCCUAUGGGUUGUAAACUGCUUUUAUCAGGGGAUAAAGUCGGCUACGCGUAGCCGUUUGUAGGUACCUGAUGAAUAAGGACCGGCUAAUUCCGUGCCAGCCGCAGC
rnacentral:rRNA from 1 species